rnacentral:rRNA from 1 species
UACGUAGGUGGCAAGCGUUGUCCGGAUUUACUGGGCAUAAAGGGCGUGCAGGCGGUUUGUUAAGUGCAGGGUGAAAGCUCCCGGCUCAACUGGGAGAGGUCCUUGCAUACUGGCAAACUCGAGGGAGGCAGAGGAAAGUGGAAUUCCCGGUGUAGUGGUGAUAUGCGUAGAUAUCGGGAGGAACACCUGUGGCGAAGGCGGCUUUCGUGGGCCUUACCUGACGCUGA